rnacentral:lncRNA from 1 species
AAAAAAGGGGUUUUAUGAGGAGAUUGGAGGGGGUGCCAGUAGGCUAACACUACUUGAAAUUGCAGCCCUUUUUAAUUUUAAAACGACAGAUUUUUGGACCUGACCCUUAUGAAGAGAGCCCACUUAUAAUGGCCCAAAAAAUGAAUGGUACAAAGGAUCUGGCCCCGCUUGAAUAGUUUGAUGGCCCAAUGCAACUGGCCAAGUACAAUAAAAAACUUAAAUUAAAUACCAUAGUUACUGUUACUUAGAGAUGUCUUUGUCCUCAAUCGAACUAGACAAUUUGACAAUUUAAAAAAAAUGAAAAAAAACAAAAAAGGAGUUGGUCUGUUGGUGAAAGAGCGUCAACUAGAGAUGGUCAACGGACUGUGCCAUGCCGGCCCAGGCCCAUCAAAAGAAGCUCAUGCGUGCUCGUGCUCAUGCCGUGUCGUGCCACUAUUCAUUUCGUGCCGUGCCGUUCCAAUCCGGCACACGUGCCGUGUCCACACGUGCUCGUGCUCGUGCCCACUCGUGUCGUGCCCACACGUGUCGUGCCAUGGGCCGUGCCUAGAAAAAAUAGCCCACUAAGCGUUUUUAUUUUUUAUUUUUUUAAGAACGUAUGCCAAGUUGUUGUCUUAUUUUUUUCAAGCUUAUGUAUUUUUUUUUUAUUCAUAUGCCUUUAUUUUAAUUUAAUAGAAUAAAAAAUUCAAAACUCAA